rnacentral:rRNA from 1 species
CUCGUAGGCGGCUUGUCGCGUCGACUGUGAAAUCCCGUGGCUCAACUGCGGGUCUGCAGUCGAUACGGGCAGGCUAGAGUUCGGUAGGGGAGACUGGAAUUCCUGGUGUAGCGGUGAAAUGCGCAGAUAUCAGGAGGAACACCGGUGGCGAAGGCGGGUCUCUGGGCCGAUACUGACGCUGAGGAGCGAAAGCGUGGGAGCGAACA